ensembl:lncRNA
AGAGAGAGAGAGAGAGAGAGAGAGGACAAGAGAGAGAGAGAGAGGACAGAUGGGAGAGAGAGAGGACUAAUGAGAGAGCGAGAAGACAAACAAGAGAGAGAGGACAAAUGAGAGAGAGAGAAAACAAAUGAGAGAGGGAGGACAAAUGAGAGAGAGAGGACAGAUGAGAGAGAGAGAAAACAGAUGAGAGGGAGAAAAGAUGAGAGAGCAAGAGAACAGAUGAGAGAGAGGACAAACGAGAGAGAGAGGACAAAGGAGAGAAGGAGAGGGGGAGAGUCUUGCUUUAAAAAACGUUGCUUCCCAAAAAUAGCCAAGGCUCUUCUCUCGCCGUGCCG